UAGGAUGACCAACCAACCUGGUUUGCUUGGGACUGUGCAGGCUCCCAGGAUAGACAGUCCUAGGUAAACCAGGAUAAGUUGGUUACCCUAGGGCUGG
rnacentral:pre_miRNA from 12 species